rnacentral:rRNA from 1 species
CCUACGGGGGGCAGCAGUGAGGAAUAUUGGUCAAUGGGUGGGAGCCUGAACCAGCCAAGUCGCGUGAGGGAUGACGGUCCUACGGAUUGUAAACCUCUUUUGCCGGGGAGCAAGCGUGCGUUCGUGAACGCGCGUCGAGAGUACCCGGAGAAAAAGCAUCGGCUAACUCCGUGCCAGCAGCCGCGGUAAUACGGAGGAUGCGAGCGUUAUCCGGAAUCAUUGGGCGUAAAGAGUUCGUAGGCGGCAUGUAAAGUCAGGUGUUAAAGGCGCAGGCUCAACCUGUGUAUGGCACUUGAUACUUGCAAGCUGGAAUGCGGUAGAGGUAAAGGGAAUUCCUGGUGUAGCGGUGAAAUGCUUAGAUAUCAGGAGGAACAUCGGUGGCGUAAGCGCUUUACUGGGCCGUAAUUGACGCUGAGGAACGAAAGCCAGGGUAGCAAAUGGGAUUAGAUACCCGAGUAGUC